CAUGGACCCAGCCGGCCCGAGCGCGCCCCGCCGCUGACCGCCCGCGCCCCGGGAAGGAAGAACACUCGCUCCCGGCCAUACUUGCGUGUGAGUUCUGACCCCUGGAGGAGCCACUGUGGAAGCAGAGCAAUCGCCAUGGAGUUUGUGAUGAAGCAGGCUCUAGGAGGUAGGAAGCGGGAGCCCCUGUUUCUCCUCCAUUCAUGUUUAAUUUGCAUCACAAUUUGUUGAAUCUCAGGUAAAUGAGGUCUUUGCAUUUAAUGAGUUUUAUCUUGACAGGCGCCGCCUCGCCCCCGGGCCCUUUCGUCCACAUCAAAAAUGCAUCAAGUCUCCACGUGUUUCGGGCCAGGGCGUGGCUUGGCAUUGACCUUCAUGACCUUACAUAGCUUUAGAGAAGCCAUAACGUUAGACUGCAAUACUAACGACCGACGCCCCUCCGGGCAGAGACCACCGCGCCCCUCUGCGCCCCAGCGACGCGGCCCGCGGGGACGUCGCUGUCCGUCCUGCUCGCCCUGUGCCCUCUCACUGACUUCUCCCGGGUCGUGUCUUUUAAAAACUCCUGUUUUCACACCUUACAAAGCCAGCUCUGAGCAGACAGGGCGUCCUCUCGUAGAACCUGCGCACCCCGUUCCCAGCGCAUGGCGCCCCGGGCCGCGAGCUUAGCUUAGACCGUGGUGUCCUCUGUCCGUCUGUCCUGCGCCUGCGCCUCCUCCUGCAUGUCGGGGCCCCUGCGUGUGUUCUCUCCGGAUGGAAUCACAGCCAAUAAACACCAGUGAUUUC
rnacentral:lncRNA from 1 species